GACGAACGCUGGCGGCGUGCUUAACACAUGCAAGUCGAACGGAAAGGCCCUGCUUUUGUGGGGUGCUCGAGUGGCGAACGGGUGAGUAACACGUGAGUAACCUGCCCUUGACUUUGGGAUAACUUCAGGAAACUGGGGCUAAUACCGGAUAGGAGCUCCUGCUGCAUGGUGGGGGUUGGAAAGUUUCGGCGGUUGGGGAUGGACUCGCGGCUUAUCAGCUUGUUGGCGGGGUAGUGGCUUACCAAGGCUUCGACGGGUAGCCGGCCUGAGAGGGUGACCGGCCACAUUGGGACUGAGAUACGGCCCAGACUCCUACGGGAGGCAGCAGUGGGGAAUAUUGCACAAUGGGCGGAAGCCUGAUGCAGCAACGCCGCGUGCGGGAUGACGGCCUUCGGGUUGUAAACCGCUUUCGCCUGUGACGAAGCGUGAGUGACGGUAAUGGGUAAAGAAGCACCGGCUAACUACGUG
rnacentral:rRNA from 1 species